rnacentral:siRNA from 1 species
ACCCAAUCAACACACAAUGGCAGC